AGAGGCGCCAGAGGAGGAGGAGCAGGAGGAUGCAGCUGCGACCGCGGCCCCAAGAGGGAGCCGCCGCUGCUCUGUGGCCAGGGGGGCCCAGGGACUGGAAUCAGGCCUGGGGGUCGCAUCGCUGAGGGGACUGGUAACGGCGGUCCCUCCAGAGGCUCAGGCCUAGUACCCCAGGAGGGUCCGGGCCGCUGGGCGAGCGCCUUCCCCCCAUCGCCUCCCCUCGUCCCUCCACGUCGAUGGUGGUGAAGUUGGCGGCGCCACGGAGCGCAAGGCACCAAGCUGUCUCCCUUGCACCCAGCUCCUCUCUGGCCCCGGCUGUUGGACACCUGCGCCGCCGCCUUCUCUCGCCCGCCGAGCCCACCCCCUGCGGCGGGCGGGGGAGGGGCUCCCCCCUGCAGGGGCUGCGUCGAGCAGGGCGACGACGGGGACCAUAGGAGAGUAGGGGUGGAAGAAAUAUGGAUAUGCUGUAUUCUGUUUGAAAGGAUUCAUCAUGAACCAGAAAAAAAUCAAUGAAAAGGGGCAUUUCACCUAGAUUAAAUUUUGCAAUUUUUAAAAAGCAUAUGAACAAAGAAACUAUCCUCCAAACAUCCAAAUAAGGAAGAAUACUUUACCUAACAAUAGGAACAAAUUAAAAAUAAUUGAUUCAGCCUAAGACUUUUUUUUCAGCGAAGAAGUAGUUUAAUAAUUGCAGGGCCAGCCAAAUAAGGAGAAAGGGAAAAAACUUCUCAAACCCAUCUCUCUGAGAAUUUGGAGGCUAGGUUUUUUUAAGGACACUUUGGCAGGCAGGGGAUAGGAAACUUUUAAGAAAUGAUUGACUGGGGAUGAAAUCACAGGGGUACCUAAAACUGUCUCGGCUUAGCUGAGUCAGUUCCUGGGAGGGGGCUGUCUUGGGACCAGGUGGCAUCUCUUGGUCAGCUCUUGGUCUGCUUAUAAAUCUGAAAAAUAUCUCAAAGACCAGUUUUUUUAAGUUUCAUAAUAGUGAUGUUAUCUAUAGGAGUAGUUGGAGAAGUGUAAAACUUGUGACCCCCAGUUACAUGACUCGGCAGCUGUAAGCAACUUAUAGAAAAACACAUAAAGCAAUGGCAGCAUCCCCCAGACAUCUAGACUAUGCCAGUCCUGUCUGCCUUCUGAGAGAGAUGAGAAAGAAACCCAUUUCUCAAGCAGUCCCCCCAAAAAGACAGAAUGUGGGACACAUGCCACAACUUUUUCCCUUCCUAGAGAGAAGCUGAGAAUUGGGAGUUUUCACCCUCUCGUUCUAUGCCGAGCUGGGAGGAGGGAGUAUGGAAGAAGCCAAGAAUUGGGAGUUUUCUGCUGAUGAUGCUAUGCUAAGCUGGGCAGAGAGACCAUGGCGACAAUGCAAGAAUGGACUAAUACAGCUCUAUUGGUGUCAUACAUGUCCUUAUAAGAGGGAGACAGAAGGAGAUGUGUGAUCAAAGACGAAGGCAAUGUGGUGACUAAAACAAGAUAUGAUACUGAUGGCUUUGAAGAUGGAGGAAGGGGCAAAGGAAUGCAAGGAAUGCAGCUCUAGAAGCCAGAAAAGUCAAGAGUAUUUGGAAAGAGUGUGGCCCUAUUGACACGUUGAUUUUGGCCAAGUGAAACUGAUUUUCAAUUUCUGACUUCCAGAACAGCAGGAGAAUAAGUGUUUGUUGUUUCAUGCCACCAAGUUUAUGGUAAUUUGUUUCAGCAGCCAUAGAAAACUAAUACAUACCUAUUAUGCUUCAUUUUGUUAUUUUUAGCCUAUUAUUCUAGCCUGUCAAGUUUAUUUGGUUGUUUUUUAAAUAAACCUUUUGUAUUUUUAGAUGUUGAGUACUAGCUAUGGACAAGGUGUGAUGUAACAUGUUACUUAGAGUAUCUCUACUACUCUUGAUGAUACUUUAUGUGAAUAUUAUUAACCUCAUUUUGUAGAUGAGAAAACUGAGGUUCAGAGUAAGUGGUUUGUCCAAGAUCAUACAAAAAAAACAUCUUAGCAGUGUUCAAAUACCGGUUUGUAGUUAGGAAGGUUGUGCAUAUGUGCAUACAAGGGUUAUAUGGGAAUUAUCUGUAUGUUCUGUUCAAUUUUGCUAUGAACCUAAAACUGCUCAAGAAUUAAAGUUUAUUAAUUCAAA
rnacentral:lncRNA from 10 species